UAUUGGGCGUAAAGAGCUCGUAGGCGGUUUGUCGCGUCUGGUGUGAAAACUCAAGGCUCAACCUUGAGCUUGCACCGGGUACGGGCAGACUAGAGUGCGGUAGGGGUGACUGGAAUUCCUGGUGUAGCGGUGGAAUGCGCAGAUAUCAGGAGGAACACCGAUGGCGAAGGCAGGUCACUGGGCCGCAACUGACGCUGAGGAGCGAAAGCAUGGGGAGCGAACAGGAUUAGAUACCCUGGUAGUCCAUGCCGUAAACGUUGGGCACUAGGUGUGGGGCUCAUUCCACGAGUUCCGUGCCGCAGCAAACGCAUUAAGUGCCCCGCCUGGGGAGUACGGCCGCAAGGCUAAAACUCAAAGGAAUUGACGGGGGCCCGCACAAGCGGCGGAGCAUGCGGAUUAAUUCGAUGCAACGCGAAGAACCUUACCAAGGCUUGACAUACACCGGAAUCAUGCAGAGAUGUGUGCGUCUUCGGACUGGUGUACAGGUGGUGCAUGGUUGUCGUCAGCUCGUGUCGUGAGAUGUUGGGUUAAGUCCCGCAACGAGCGCAACCCUCGUCCUAUGUUGCCAGCACUUCGGGUGGGGACUCAUAGGAUACUGCCGGGGUCAACUCGGAGGAAGGUGGGGAUGACGUCAAAUCAUCAUGCCCCUUAUGUCUUGGGCUUCACGCAUGCUACAAUGGCCGGUACAAAGGGCUGCGAUACCGCGAGGUGGAGCGAAUCCCAAAAAGCCGGUCUCAGUUCGGAUUGGGGUCUGCAACUCGACCCCAUGAAGUCGGAGUCGCUAGUAAUC
rnacentral:rRNA from 1 species